AAAGAAAAACUGUUUAGUUAGUGGGGAAAAAAGAGUUCCAUAAAUAAACAUAGGCAUCAGUUUGGAAGCAUGGAUGCCCUGUAAAAUCGGUCUUCUCCAGCAGUUUCAGGUGUGACCCGCUGAACCAACGCGUGGCUUCUGUCAGUGGCACGCAGCUUUCUGCCAGAAGCCUGGGGCUCGGGGGCAGCAGCCUCGGGCCCUAAGUGUGGAAAAGACAACAGGGCAGCCCAGGACUGUACCGCUGUCCACGCCAGUGGACCUGUAGAAGAGCCUUAAGCUUCCUCUCCAGAAGUAUGCAAGGUCCCUACCUGCCUCCCACACCUGAAUGUGCGUUGCCGGCUUCUCACACCAGAGAGAGAAUACGAUGCAAAUGUGCACUUGGAUGAGGAAAUACAAACAGCAAAUGAAUAUAUGGAAAAAUGUUCAGCGUCAUUGGCCAUCGGAGAGCUGCAAAUUAAAGCAACACCAGACUUAUCACUUUACAACAGAGACAAUGCUCGAUAAGUCAGGAUGGCCUGCAGGGCCCUGCAGCAGGCACUCCUUUUUCAAAAAUUUUAAUUGGUUUUUAAGAAACAUUAUCUUCAAAAUAUUCCUAUGAUCAUGUUUAAGCCAAAGCUGUUUUACUGAACAAUAAUACAAUAUU